rnacentral:tRNA from 1 species
GCCCUGGUGAUCUAGUGGUAAAGACUCGGCGCUCUCACCGCCUCGGCCUGGGUUCGUUUCCCAGUCAGGGAA